GAUUGAACGCUGGCGGCACGCCUAACACAUGCAAGUCGAGCGGCAGCGAGAUGAGUAGCAAUACUCAUUGUCGGCGAGCGGCGGACGGGUGAGGAACACGUAGGAACCUGCCUAAGAGAGGGGGAUAACUAAUGGAAACGUUAGCUAAUACCGCAUAAUGUCGAAAGACCAAAGCUGCAGCAAUGUAGCACUUUUAGAGGGGCCUGCGUCCGAUUAGCUAAUUGGUGAGGUAAAAGCUCACCAAGGCGAUGAUCGGUAACUGGUCUGAGAGGACGACCAGUCACACUGGGACUGAGACACGGCCCAGACUCCUACGGGAGGCAGCAGUGGGGAAUCUUGGACAAUGGGGGCAACCCUGAUCCAGCGAUGCCGCGUGAGUGAAGAAGGCCUUCGGGUCGUAAAGCUCUUUAGGCUGGGAAGAAGGGUGUGUGAGGAAAUGCAUGCACUUUGACUGUACCAGCAGAAUAAGCACCGGCAAACUCUGUGCCAGCAGCCGCGGUAAUACAGAGGGUGCGAGCGUUGAUCGGAGUUACUGGGCGUAAAGGGCGCGUAGGCGGUCGUGUGAGUGUGAUGUGAAAGCCCCGGGCUUAACCUGGGAAGAGCAUCGCAAACGACACGACUGGAGUAGAUGAGAGGGUGGUGGAAUUUCCGGUGUAGCGGUGAAAUGCGUAGAGAUCGGAAGGAACGUCAAUGGCGAAGGCAGCCACCUGGCAUCAUACUGACGCUGAGGCGCGAAAGCGUGGGGAGCGAACAGGAUUAGAUACCCUGGUAGUCAACGCUGUAAACGAUGAGGACUAAAUGUUGGUAGGGGAACCUAUCGGUAUUGAAGCUAACGCGAUAAGUCUUCCGCCUGGGAAGUACGGCCGCAAGGUUGA
rnacentral:rRNA from 1 species